GUAACGGCGAGUGAAGCGGCAUCAGCUCAAAUUUGAAAUCUGGCUCUUUCAGGGUCCGAGUUGUAAUUUGCAGAGGGCGCUUUGGCGUUGGCAGCGGUCCAAGUUCCUUGGAACAGGACGUCACAGAGGGUGAGAAUCCCGUACGUGGUCGCUGGCCUUCGCCGUGUAAAGCCCCUUCGACGAGUCGAGUUGUUUGGGAAUGCAGCUCUAAAUGGGAGGUAAAUUUCUUCUAAAGCUAAAUACUGGCCAGAGACCGAUAGCGCACAAGUAGAGUGAUCGAAAGAUGAAAAGCACUUUGGAAAGAGAGUCAAAUAGCACGUGAAAUUGUUGAAAGGGAAGCGCUUGCAGCCAGACUUGCCUGUAGUUGCUCAUCCGGGCUCUUGCCCGGUGCACUCUUCUGCGGGCAGGCCAGCAUCAGUCUGGGCGGUUGGAUAAAGGCCUCUGUCAUGUACCUCCUCUCGGGGAGGCCUUAUAGGGGAGGCGUAAUGCAACCAGCCUGGACUGAGGUCCGCGCAUCUGCUAGGAUGCUGGCGUAAUGGCUGUAAGCGGCCCGUCUUGAAACACGGACCAAGGAGUCUAACAUCUAUGCGAGUGUUUGGGUGUCAAGCCCGAGCGCGUAAUGAAAGUGAACGGAGGUGGGAUCCCUUAAGGGUGCACCAUCGACCGAUCCUGAUGUCUUCGGAUGGAUUUGAGUAAGAGCAUGGCUGUUGGGACCCGAAAGAUGGUGAACUAUGCUUGAAUAGGGUGAAGCCAGAGGAAACUCUGGUGGAGGCUCGCAGCGGUUCUGACGUGCAAAUCGAUCGUCAAAUUUGGGCAUAGGGGCGAAAGACUAAUCGAACUAUCUAGUAGCUGGUUCCUGCC
rnacentral:rRNA from 1 species